UACGAAGGGGGCUAGCGUUGCUCGGAAUUACUGGGCGUAAAGCGCACGUAGGCGGUUUCUUAAGUCGGGGGUGAAAUCCCGGGGCUCAACCCCGGAACUGCCUUUGAUACUGGGUAUCUCGAGUCCGGAAGAGGUGAGUGGAAUUCCGAGUGUAGAGGUGAAAUUCGUAGAUAUUCGGAGGAACACCAGUGGCGAAGGCGGCUCACUGGUCCGGUACUGACGCUGAGGUGCGAAAGCGUGGGGAGCAAACAGG
rnacentral:rRNA from 1 species